GACGAGGGGCCAGCGUUGGUUCGGAAUUUACUGGGUGUAAAGGGUUCGUAGGCGGUGUGGCAAGUCGGGAGUGAAAUUUUCUGGGCUCAACUCAGAGACUGCUUUCCGAAACUGCUGUGCUGGAGUGUGGGAGAGGCGCGUGGAAUUGCAGGUGUAGCGGUGAAAAUGCGUAGAUAUCUGCAGGAACACCCGUGGCGAAAAGCGGCGCGUGGACCACUACUGACGUGAGGAAACGAAAAAGCGUGGGGGGAGCGAAACAGGGAUUUAGAAAA
rnacentral:rRNA from 1 species